GCUUCUGUAGUCUGUGCCUGCAGAUCUGUGUGAAACGAGUCUUUGGCAAAUGAAAACAUAAAAAAGUAAAACCUGCUGAAACCAUCACUCAGACUUAUAUUAGUCUCAAUGGUCGGGGGCCGUAUCAAACACAUGUUCUUCUCUAUCAUCCAUUAUGAGAGAGAUGAGUUACAACAGCAUGGCUGCCCUCCGUCACUGGUGUCGAAUCAAAGCAGUCGCACCAGAGGAGGGCCUCUGCAUGACCUGACCUCAGACGCUGGGACUAAAGUGUUAAUCAAAGCUGUAAACGGAGCCAUGCGAAGGUCUCGGAGGUUCCUCCCUGAAAGGAUCUGCAGAGGUCCCGUGUGUGUCAGUCUUUCUGAUGGGCUGUUAAACGCUACCAGGGCGCGGUGAUCUGAGAGCACACCUCAGUGAAAACACAUCUGGUCCUGAUGAAGGCUGAGGGACAGCGGAUUAAAGAAAUUCUUCUUGAAGCGGUCUGGUUGGUUCCUGCCAUAACAACUGUGAGCAGCUGACACCGAUGAGACCACAAAUCAGUCUGAGACUAAUAUUUAGCUUCUCUUUUUCAUGUCAAGUGAGCCACAACAGUGGAGAACACACCAGCUGGAGGCAAUUCUGCAUGAACACAUUUCUGCGCGCGGAGGUGAGAGAGGGAAGGUGCUCUGGCCGACUUUUAAUAGCCUAUUAUGUUUCUUUCCUCAAACAAAACACCGCAGCACAUGCUUUCCAUCAGCACGAUGUUAUUCCAGCACUGGAGCCGGGUCCAGACCGUCAGAGCAGGGAAACCAUUUCAGCCAACAGCAGAAGAAAAUGCUCUCAGGUGUCUCCGAACCCCCCGAGACUGAUCGCAUUCACCAAUUUGCUUGAAAUGAUUGUAAGUGGAGUAAUAAAAGCUCUGAGGCAGAACUACAGCACAGAACAGAGAGUAUUUGAAUGAAUACCACAUGUCCGUUCUAUACUUAGUAAGACAUAAAUUAUUGUUCACAUUUUCAAAGGAUUGGAUCUUGGCUGUAGUCAAUAAACCACAAUUAGCUGACGUGAAACAGCCCGACGGUUCGCAGUACGGCACAACUCAAACGUCCAACUUAGGAAACACUGAUCAAGUGAAACCCAGGAUAACAGCUGGGAGGACACCGCCGAGCUGAGGUCCAAAGACGUUCUUCACUUGUUUCAUUUAUUCAUCUUUUACAGCAGGGGUCACUAACUGUAUAUGGGAGGGCCAGAUCUUUUCAGGACAAAUGAAAUAAAAGUCAUUUUUUGUGUAACAUUAUUAUUUGACAUUUAUUUUGGAAUCCAGUCGAGGGCCAGACUGGACAGUUUGGCGAGCUGGAUUUGGUCCGCGGGCCACCAGUUGACAAUCACUGUUCUACGACUUAUUUUUUUUAUUUCUAACAGAAGACCUGGAAUCAGAGAAGUCAAGGUGUGGGGGCGGGGGUGAAACACCAAAACCUAAAUCACGUUCACUGAUUUUAGUUUCAAGUUUUAACUAGGGCACU